rnacentral:rRNA from 1 species
CCUACGGGAGGCAGCAGUGGGGAAUAUUGGGCAAUGGGCGCAAGCCUGACCCAGCAACGCCGCGUGAAGGAAGAAGUAUUUCGGUAUGUAAACUUCUAUUUGCAGGGAAGAAAAGGACGGUACCUGUCUAAGAAUCCCCGGAUAACUACGUGCCAGCUGCCGCGGGAAUACGGAGGGGGCAAGCGUUAUCCGGAUUUACUGGGUGUAAAGGGAGCGUAGGCGGUAGUGCAAGUCAGAAGUGAAAGCCCAAGGCUCAACCAUGGGACUGCUUUUGAAACUGGACAGCUAGAUUGCAGGAGAGGUAAGUGGAAUUCGUAGUGUAGCGGUGAAAUGCGUAGAUAUUAGGAAGAACACCAGGGGCGAAGGCGGCUUGCUGGACUGUAAAUGACGCUGAGGCUCGAAAGCGUGGGGAGCAAACAGGAUUAGAUACCCGAGUAGUC